CAUUGAGAAACUUAAAAGCAAGUAUUGGUCUCUUAAACCAACUAAUGGUAAUUAGCAUAUACCCUUAAUGA
rnacentral:tRNA from 1 species